GUGGUUGUGGCUCAGUGGUAGAGCACUCGCCUUGCACAUGCGAGGUCUUGGGUUUGAUCCCCAGCACCACA
rnacentral:tRNA from 1 species